GCGAAAGCGAGUCUGAAUAGGGCGUUCAGUCGUUGGGAGUAGACGCGAAACGGGAUGAUCUAUCCUUGGCCAGGGUGAAGUCUGUGUAACAGCAGAUGGAGGCCCGAACCACUAUAGGUUGAAAACUGUUUGGAUGAGCUGAGGAUAGGGGUGAAAGGCUAAUCAAAUUCCGUUAUAGCUCGUUCUCUCCGAAAUAGCUUUAGGGCUAGCGUCGCGUGAUUCGCCAUGGUGGUAGGGCUCUGACAGGGCUAGGGGGCUUCCCAGCUUACCGAACCCUUUUAAACUUCAAAUGCCAUGGACGCAAGCGCGGCAGUCAGUCAGUGGGGGCUAAGCCUCAUUGUCGAGAGGGAAACAACCCAGACCGCCGGCUAAGGUCCCGAAAUCUGUGCUAAGUGGGUAAGGAAGUCGAACGGCUAAGACAGCCAGGAGGUUGGCUUAGA
rnacentral:rRNA from 1 species